CAAGCGGUGGAUGAUGUGGUUUAAUUCGAUGCAACGCGAAAAACCUUACCCACCUUUGACAUGUACGGAAUUUACCAGAGAUGGUUUAGUGCUCGAAAGAGAGCCGUAACACAGGUGCUGCAUGGCUGUCGUCAGCUCGUGUCGUGAGAUGUUGGGUUAAGUCCCGCAACGAGCGCAACCCUUGUCAUUAGUUGCUACAUUUAGUUGGGCACUCUAAUGAGACUGCCGGUGACAAACCGGAGGAAGGUGGGGAUGACGUCAAGUCCUCAUGGCCCUUAUAGGUGGGGCUACACACGUCAUACAAUGGCUGGUACAAAGGGUUGCCAACCCGCGAGGGGGAGCUAAUCCCAGAAAGUGUAUCGUAGUCCGGAUCGCAGUCUGCAACUCGACUGCGUGAAGUUGGAAUCGCUAGUAAUCGCGGAUCAGCAUGUCGCGGUGAAUACGUUCCCGGGUCUUGUACACACC
rnacentral:rRNA from 1 species